GUUCCGAACCACGGAUCUAUGAUCAGGUUAGCGGUGCCUCUCUGACGCUGGGGAUUGCUAGCUACACUCCUCGGAGGUUGCUGUUUUGUUGCCGUCACACUCUGCGCCGGUUCCGACUGGCUCCACCUGCUCGUCCUGCUUUUGUUUGGUUUAAUUAUUUUUUAUUUUCUGGCCCGUUUCUUGGGACGCCAGCCUCCUCGCUGCGCACUGCGCAGGUCUAGUUACCUGUGUGUGUUGUGAGUGCGUGUGUGUCUGUGCGUCUGUAUGCGUGUGUGAUUGUCAUUUAGGCACGGCACCGGAGGCAAGUGUACACCCCCUUCAGUCAACCUACGGCGGUGUAGUUCUCCCCUCUCUCGUGCUAUACGAAAGUUAAGUUGCAUCUAGUCAUCACUGUGUAUGCAAUUUGUGUAAUACAGUAGUACGUGUCAUUCUCGCCAUUGAGUGUCUCUCUCUUCUCUCCUCCCUGUAUAGGUAUGGAGUUGCCAUAGCGCGCCGGUCUUCGGGUGGUGGAUUCCCUCACUUUUCCAUUGCUGUGUGCACUUGGGUGACUAUUACUAUUUUGCUGCGUGUAGUAGUAGAUGUGUGUUUUCUUUUUAUUUUGUGUGAGUACUUUAUUGUGUGUGUUUAUUUUGUGUGACCUUUUCCCUAGUCUUUAACUAUCCCUUUUCAACCGUGCUGCUAUUGGUUAGCCUAAGCCUAGCUUCCCCCCCCUUCAAGAGUGACACCAUUGCCCUGUCUCCCCCGUACUGGGGCGGUUCGUACGAUUGAGGGUAGCCUCCCUUCCUCUCUCGCAAAGGUGCCGUGCGUGUGUGUGCGUGGUGUGUGUUUGUGUGUGGCCAUUGGCCAUAUUGCUCCACAUAACGACCCGCCUGUGGGUGUCUAAUAGGGAUCAGUGCAAUAUUGUCUGUAAUACAAUUCAUCCAUAUUGUAUUUUUGUAAUGUAUGAGUAUUUGUCCCUUGCAUCACCACUGCAUAUUUGCACACCUGUAUGACAAAUUCACAUCUGUAUGACUAUUGUAUUUAUGUAAAGAGAAUAAACACUUGACUCAUGCCUGAGAGUGCUCCGAA